CCUACGGGGAGCAGCAGUGAGGAAUAUUGGUCAAUGGACGAGAGUCUGAACCAGCCAAGUAGCGUGAAGGAUGACUGCCCUAUGGGUUGUAAACUUCUUUUAUCUGGGAAUAAAAUGUUCCACGUGUGGGAUUUUGUAUGUACCAUAUGCAUAAGGAUCGGCUAACUCCGUGCCAGCAGCCGCGGUAAUACGGAGGAUCCGAGCGUUAUCCGGAUUUAUUGGGUUUAAAGGGAGCGUAGGUGGAUUGUUAAGUCAGUUGUGAAAGUUUGCGGCUCAACCGUAAAAUUGCAGUUGAAACUGGCAGUCUUGAGUACAGUAGAGGUGGGCGGAAUUCGUGGUGUAGCGGUGAAAUGCUUAGAUAUCACGAAGAACUCCGAUUGCGAAGGCAGUUCACUGGACUGCAACUGACACUGAGGCUCGAAAGUGUGGGUAUCAAACAGGAUUAGAUACCCUGUAGUC
rnacentral:rRNA from 1 species